GAUCAUGGCUCAGGAUGAACGCUAGCUACAGGCUUAACACAUGCAAGUCGAGGGGCAGCAUGGUCUUAGCUUGCUAAGGCUGAUGGCGACCGGCGCACGGGUGAGUAACACGUAUCCAACCUGCCGUCUACUCUUGGCCAGCCUUCUGAAAGGAAGAUUAAUCCAGGAUGGCAUCAUGAGUUCACAUGUCCGCAUGAUUAAAGGUAAGUUUCCGUUACGUACGAUGGG
rnacentral:rRNA from 1 species